rnacentral:rRNA from 1 species
UACGGAAGGGGGCUAGCGUUGCUCGGAAUCACUGGGCGUAAAGGGUGCGUAGGCGGGUCUUUUAAGUCAGGGGUGAAAUCCUGGAGCUCAACUCCAGAACUGCCUUUGAUACUGAAGAUCUUGAGUUCGGGAGAGGUGAGUGGAACUGCGAGUGUAGAGGUGAAAAUUCGUAGAUAUUCGCAAGAACACCAGUGGCGAAGGCGGCUCACUGGCCCGAUACUGACGCUGAGGCACGAAAGCGUGGGGAGCGAACAGG